GCCCCCAUAGGGCGGAUACACGUGUUACUCACAGUUGAUUUUCGGUGAAGAAAAACCGUUUUUUCCCGCAGAUUCAAGAUAAAAUGGUAGCGGCAAGGCUCCGGAACGUCCCAAGAAGAAUCGAGGGUGGUUUUCCAGACUGGUCCACCAACUGCUCAACUUCCUUGAAGCGACGAAACAUAGGUUGAAUUCUGUUGUCAACAUGAGGCACUAGCAGACUGUUGCCACACUGCCUGGAAGGGUGGCAAGCCGCAAGUCACCAACAAGGGACCAGCAAAAGUGAACCUGUUACGUUAUGUGGUAAAUCCUGCACGAUGAACAGCACACGUGCACAUGCAGAAUGUUGAUGACGUGAUGUAUUCUUCCCUCAAGUCUUGCUUACCCUUGAUUUUCAUCAAUAGUUACAAGCAACAUAAUAAUUUGUGCUUAUUGUAAAAUGAUUUCUUGCUCUUAAGUACAUUUACUCAUUCUUCUAAAUGCAUUGUUGACAGACAGUGACUGCAUUUUGUGUAGUAAUGAAGGCUCUAUAAACACCUUUUCUAUUUGUUCUAGAGCUGAAUAAUGUUUGUCUAUUAAUGCAAUACACACUUGCAUGUGCCGGAAGCCAAGUUGAAGAUAAUGUAUAUUGUGCUGGCUAUGACAAAGUGUAUAUGACCUCGUAUGGUAAUAAUUAUUCUCUAGUAUUUGUGAUAAGAUCUUAAAUGCCCUGACUGUGCAACAUAUGUCCAACAAUAAAUACACUUAUUCUUUAUAACUA